rnacentral:rRNA from 1 species
UACGUAGGGGGCAAGCGUUAUCCGGAUUUAUUGGGCGUAAAGAGCUCGUAGGCGGCCGUUCGCGUCGGAUGUGAAAGCUCAGGGCUCAACCCUGAGACGCCAUUCGAUACGGGACGGCUAGAGGUAGGUAGGGGAAAGUGGAAUUCCUGGUGUAGCGGUGGAAUGCGUAGAGAUCGGGAAGAACACCCGUGGCGAAGGCGGCCGGCUGGGCCGGAUCCGACGCUGAGGCGCGAAAGCGUGGGGAGCAAACAGG